UUAUAUCCAGCUACUUCACUGAAGCUGAUUAUUAGAGUUAGGAGUUCUCUGGUGGAGUUUUCAGGUUCACUUAUAUGUACUAUCAUAUCGUCUGCAAAUAGUGAUUUUUUGACUUCUUCCUUUCCAAUUUGUAUCCCUUUUAUCUCCUUUUGUUGUUGAAUUUCUCUGGCUAGGACUUCAAGUACUAUAUUGAAUAGGUAGGGACAAAGUGGGUACCCUUGUCUAGUCCCUGGUUUUAGUGAGAUUGCUUCAGGUUUCUCUCCAUUUAGUGUGAUGUUAGCUACUGGUUUGCUUUAUCUUGCUUUUAUUAUGUUUAGGCAUGGGCUUUGAAUUCCUGAUCUUUCCAAGACUUUUCUUAUGAAUGGGUGUUGGAUUUUGUCAAAUGCUUUCUCUGCAUCUAAUGAGAUGAUCAUGUGUUGGGUUCCCCCCCCCCUUUGGGUUUGUUUAUAUAAGUGCUUAUUUUGAUGGAUUUCUGUAUAUUAAAUUAUCCCUACAUCCCAGGGAUGAAGCCUACUUUAUCAUGAUGGAUGAUCGUUUUGAUAUGUUCUUGGAUUCAUUUUGGGAGAAUUUUAUUGAGUAUUUUUGCAUCGAUAUUCAUAAGGGAAAUUGGUCUGAACUUCUCUUUCUUUGUUGGGUCUUUAUGUGGUUUAGGUAUCAGAGUAAUUGUGGCUUCAUAGAAUGAAUUGGGUAGAGUACCUUCUGUUUCUAUUUUGUGAAAUAGUUUGAGGACAAUUGGAAUUUGGUCUUCUUUGAUGGUCUGAUAGAACUCUGCACUAAAUCCAUCUGGUCCUGGGCUUGUUUUGGUUAGGAGACUAUUAAUGACUUCUUCUAUUUCUUUAGGGGAUAUGGGGCUGUUUAGAUCCUUAAUUUGAUCCAGAUUUAACUUUGGUACCUUUUAUCUGUCUACAAAAUUGUCCAUUUCAUCCAGUUUUCUAGUUUUGUUGAGUACAGCCUUUUGUAGUAGGAUCUGAUGAUGCUUUGUAUAUCCUCAGGUUCUGUUGUUAUGUCUCCCUUUUCAUUUCUAAUUUUGUUAAUUAGGAUACUGUCCCUGUGUCCCCAAUUUUGUCAAGUUAAGGGUUUAUCUAUCUUGUUGAUUUUCUU
rnacentral:lncRNA from 1 species